GCUGGGCACAAUGGCUCAUGCCUGUAAUCCCAGCACUUUGGGAGGCUGAGGUGGGUGGAUCACCUGAGGUCAGGAGUUCAAGACCAGCCUGGCCUACAUGGUGAAACCCCAUCUCUA
rfam:Gorilla gorilla gorilla genomic chromosome, chr11, whole genome shotgun sequence